GACAGAGGGGGCAAGCGUUGCUCGGAAUCACUGGGCGUAAAGGGCGCGUAGGCGGGAUGGCAAGUCAGUCAUGAAAUCUCUCGGCUCAACCGAGAAACGUCGGCUGAUACUGCCGUUCUUGAGGGAUGCAGAGGAGACUGGAAUUCCCGGUGUAGCGGUGAAAUGUGUAGAGAUCGGGAGGAACACCGGUGGCGAAGGCGGGUCUCUGGGCAUUUCCUGACGCUGAGGCGCGAAAGCGUGGGGAGCAAACGGG
rnacentral:rRNA from 1 species